rnacentral:rRNA from 1 species
GCUUGCUCUUGGGUGACGAGUGGCGGACGGGUGAGUAAUGUCUGGGAAACUGCCCGAUGGAGGGGGAUAACUACUGGAAACGGUAGCUAAUACCGCAUAACGUCGCAAGACCAAAGUGGGGGACCUUCGGGCCUCACACCAUCGGAUGUGCCCAGAUGGGAUUAGCUAGUAGGUGGGGUAAUGGCUCACCUAGGCGACGAUCCCUAGCUGGUCUGAGAGGAUGACCAGCCACACUGGAACUGAGACACGGUCCAGACUCCUACGGGAGGCAGCAGUGGGGAAUAUUGCACAAUGGGCGCAAGCCUGAUGCAGCCAUGCCGCGUGUAUGAAGAAGGCCUUCGGGUUGUAAAGUACUUUCAGCGAGGAGGAAGGCAUUAAGGUUAAUAACCUUGGUGAUUGACGUUACUCGCAGAAGAAGCACCGGCUAACUCCGUGCCAGCAGCCGCGGUAAUACGGAGGGUGCAAGCGUUAAUCGGAAUUACUGGGCGUAAAGCGCACGCAGGCGGUCUGUCAAGUCGGA